AGAGUUUGAUCCUGGCUCAGGAUGAACGCUGGCGGCGCGCCUAACACAUGCAAGUCGAACGGACGAGGCUCUUCGGAGCCGAGUUAGUGGCGAACGGGUGAGUAACACGUGAGGAACCUGCCUUUCAGAGGGGGAUAACACUUAGAAAUAGGUGCUAAUACCGCAUAAGACCACAGAGUCGCAUGGCUCAGGGGUCAAAGGAGCGAUCCGCUGAAAGAUGGCCUCGCGUCCGAUUAGGUAGUAGGCGGGGCAACGGCCCACCUAGCCGACGAUCGGUAGCCGGACUGAGAGGUUGAUCGGCCACAUUGGGACUGAGACACGGCCCAGACUCCUACGGGAGGCAGCAGUGGGGAAUAUUGGGCAAUGGGGGAAACCCUGACCCAGCGACGCCGCGUGAGGGAAGAAGGUUUUCGGAUUGUAAACCUCUGUCUUCGGGGAUGAUAGUGACAGUACCCGAGGAGGAAGCCACGGCUAAUUACGUGCC
rnacentral:rRNA from 1 species